rnacentral:misc_RNA from 1 species
AAUCCCAAACUAGUUGGGGUUGGCAAAUUUUUCACUCAAAAAGAUUUAAAAGAAAAAUAUUGUUCUCCUGUCAUUUCUUUUUCUUCUCCAAUCACAGUCAUAAGAUCUUGAAAUUUAAAAGAAAAACGAAGAGGGGGAAGGGGGGAACAAGAACAGCUUCCAAAUCAUACUGGAGCUCAUUUUGAGUUCCAGAUUGAGCAUGAGCACAAUUUUUAAAUUAGUGAUCAAGCUAAGCUCAGGGUCACCCCAGGCUUAGCUGAGGCAAUUGACAGUGCUACCUAUAGUGCUCUCCCCUUUCACCAAAUAAACAAAAAAAAUAAUAGAUGGCAAAAGAUGUCUUCCUGUCCCACCAUUUCUUUUUUUCCAUAAAUAACUUGUUGGAUUGCUACUUAAGAUGUUGCACAAUAUGGCAUGAAUGAUCAGCACAGUUUAAGUGUGUGUCUUUGUGUAUCUGGUAAAACCUUAGUAGUUAUAACAUUUAACAAUCACAAUAUAUAUAAAAAAUAACCUACAGCGAGCAAUGGUUUUGUAUUUAUUAAUUUCUUAACUGCUUCUUUUAUACAAGCUAGAACUCUUCCAUAUGGAAACUCUACUUCAAAUAAAUUUUAAUCUCCUUGUUUGACAGAUGAUAAGUUCUAUGUACCAAGAUUCAAGCUAAGGCAAACAUGUUUAGACCAAACCUUAAAUGUAUUUGAGAAAAUUCAAAAUUAUGAUAGCAGACAGUAU